GAGGGUAUAGCUCAGUGUUAGAGCACAAGCCUAGCAUGCGCAGGGUCCUGGGUUCAAUCCCCAGUAUCUCCA
rnacentral:tRNA from 1 species